CGGGACGUGGCGCAGCUUGGUAGCGCACCUGCUUUGGGAGCAGGGGGUCGCAGGUUCAAAUCCUGUCGUCCCGA
rnacentral:tRNA from 5 species